CCGGGGAGCGGACACGUGAGAGAUUUUGGACGGAAGUGACGACACGAUCGUAUCGUUAAAUAAGACGCGCAAGAGGCGUUCUCUCUCUUCUUCUUAGCGCCAUCUUGUCGAUUUCCGCUGCGCCAUGAGAGCCAAGUGGAGGAAGAAGCGAAUGCGUAGGCUGAAACGCAAGAGGAGAAAGAUGAGGCAGAGGUCCAAGUAAUCAGACCGUGCUGAGCACUGAGGCCACAGGAGCAGAGAUGGAAUGACCCUUGGUGACAUUCUCGAAGGCAGAAAUCAUCUGGAAACUUCAUCUCCCUACGAAGCACUAUGCUAGCUCUACCAUCUGACGAAGGACCACCAUUUGACAAUUCCCUGACAAAAGGACAUGCCACCUAACCUUUUUGAUUUUGUGCCGUGGGACUCCUAUCAUUCCGGACUGGUUGUUCUUUGUGGCUUAGUGUAGCACACCUGUACAAUAAAUCCUCGCAACUUCUUGUUUGAAAAAA